rnacentral:rRNA from 1 species
UGCUCUAGUACUGAGAGCGCAUUGGUUACACACCUAUCCAUCUCGAAUUAGGUUGUGAAACAGUGUGGCGGCUAGAAUACUGCAAGGGGGACCUUGUGGGAAGGCGGUCAGGUGCUAGGGG